rnacentral:rRNA from 1 species
CCUACGGGUGGCAGCAGUGAGGAAUAUUGGUCAAUGGGCGCGAGCCUGAACCAGCCAAGUCGCGUGAGGGAUGACGGUCCUACGGAUUGUAAACCUCUUUUGCCGGGGAGCAAGCGUGCGUUCGUGAACGCGCGUCGAGAGUACCCGGAGAAAAAGCAUCGGCUAACUCCGUGCCAGCAGCCGCGGUAAUACGGAGGAUGCGAGCGUUAUCCGGAUUUAUUGGGUUUAAAGGGUGCGUAGGCGGGAUGCCAAGUCAGCGGUAAAAAUGCGGUGCUCAACGCCGUCGAGCCGUUGAAACUGGCGUUCUUGAGUGGGCGAGAAGUAUGCGGAAUGCGUGGUGUAGCGGUGAAAUGCAUAGAUAUCAUACAGAACACCGAUUGCGAAGGCAGCUUACCAAACUAUAUCUGACGUUGAGGCACGAAAGCGUGGGUAGCAAACAGGAUUAGAUACCCUAGUAGUC